GACGAACCGUGCGAACGUUGUUCGGAAUCACUGGGCUUAAAGGGCGCGUAGGCGGGUCAUCAAGUCCGGGGUGAAAGCCCCCAGCUUAACUGGGGAAGUGCCUUGGAUACUGAUGGUCUGGAGGGGGGUAGGGGCAGUGGGAACUUCCGGUGGAGCGGUGAAAUGCGUUGAUAUCGGAAGGAACGCCGGUGGCGAAAGCGCACUGCUGGACCUUUUCUGACGCUGAGGCGCGAAAGCCAGGGGAGCAAACGGG
rnacentral:rRNA from 1 species